rnacentral:rRNA from 1 species
AUACGGAGGGGGCUAGCGUUGUUCGGAUUUACUGGGCGUAAAGCGAGUGUAGGCGGUUUGACAAGUCGAAUGUGAAAUCCCGAGGCCCAACCUCGGAACUGCAUCCGAAACUGUCAGGCUAGAGUCCCGGAGAGGAUGGCGGAAUUCCCGGUGUAGGGGUGAAAUCCGUAGAUAUCGGGAGGAACACCAGUGGCGAAGGCGGCCAUCUGGACGGUGACUGACGCUGAGACUCGAAAGCGUGGGUAGCAAACAGGAUUAGAUACCCCAGUAGUCC